rnacentral:rRNA from 1 species
GGGGAAUAUUGGGCAAUGGGCGAAAGCCUGACCCAGCGACGCCGCGUGGGUGAUGAAGGCCUUCGGGUUGUAAAGCCCUGUCAUGCGGAAAGAACGACCCUGAGACGCAUACUCUCAGGGAGUGACGGUACCGCAGGAGGAAGCACCGGCUAACUCCGUGCCAGCAGCCGCGGUAAUACGGAGGGUGCAAGCGUUGUUCGGAAUUAUUGGGCGUAAAGGGCGCGUAGGCGGUAAUGUAAGUCAGAUGUGAAAUACUCCGGCUCAACCAGAGAACAGCAUCUGAAACUGCAUAACUAGAGUACAGAAGAGGGAAACGGAAUUCCCGGUGUAGAGGUGAAAUUCGUAGAUAUCGGGAGGAACACCAGUGGCGAAGGCGGUUUCCUGGUCUGAUACUGACGCUGAGGCGCGAAAGCGUGGGGAGCAAACA